UACGAGGGGGGCGAGCGUUAUUCGCACAAACUGGGCGUAAAGUGUCUUUAGGCGGAUCUUCGUGUGUUAGCAGCUUAAGUAUAGAACGUUAUUCUAUAAUGUUUGCUAAGACUGUUUUUCUUGAGUUUUAGAGGGGUUAGUAGUAUUUCUUCAAGAGGGUUAAAAUUCUUGGAAAGAAGAAGGAGUGUCAUGGGUGAAGACAACUAACUAGCUAAAACUGACGCCAAAGGACUAAAGCGUAGGGAGCGAUCGGG
rnacentral:rRNA from 1 species